GACGAACGCUGGCGGCGUGCUUAACACAUGCAAGUCGAACGGAAAGGCCUCUUUCGGGGGGUACUCGAGUGGCGAACGGGUGAGUAACACGUGAGUAACCUGCCCUUGACUUUGGGUUAACUUCAGGAAACUGGGGCUAAUACCGGAUAGGAGCUCCUGCUGCAUGGCGGGGGUUGGAAAGUUUCGGCGGUUGGGGAUGGACUCGCGGCGUAUCAGCUUGUUGUUGGGGUAGUGGUUUACCAAGGCCUUAGCGGGUAGCCGGCCUGGGGGAGUGAGCAGCCGCCUUGAGACCUACAGGAGGCCGCGGUAGCUACGGGGCGCAGAAGUGGGGAAUACUGCACGAUCGGUGGAGGGCUGAUGCAGCAACGCCGUGUGCCGGAAAACGCCGUUAUGGUUGUAAAACGCAUGCGCUCGUAACGAAGCAUGGUGUGACGGUAGUGAAUAAAAAAGCACCGGCUAACUACGUG
rnacentral:rRNA from 1 species